UCACCAAUUUCUUCCAAUAUUUUCUAUCUACUGAAUAUAGGUAGAUUUUAAAAAGUGAUCUUACUUGGAUUUUUUAAUAGAAAUAUUUGGAAUAAGAAGCUUUCCUUAUUUUUAAAAAGUGUUGUUUCAAGCAGCAGAGCACAGUUACAUGGACAAAAGAUAAUAAUAUGUUGAGCACUUCCUGUGGGUCAGGCACUGUGCUUAGGGCCUUAGAAACACCCUCUUCAGCAUUAUCAUAACUGCACAUGAUGUAUUUAUACUCAUUUACAGUUGAGAAAACAUAGGCUUAAAAGUUUAGUGUUUGAGUAUUAAUAUCUUGGGGUUGUUUCUAGGAAGCAUGACAUAAUAUAAUUUGGUUUGACACUUCUUCCCCCAAAAGAAGUAGUCUGAACUAAGGAAUGGACGAAUACUGACAAAUGAUACAAGUCACAUUCUUCUUUGGUUUGCAGCUCAAAACAUAUGCCUGUCUUUCUCACUGUAGAUGAUGUUUUCUUGAAAUAAAGCAAAAGUUAAGUUCUCAGGAAAGCAAAAGGAUUUUGUGAAAAAAACAAAAUUAUACAUCAUAAACAGAACAUGUUGUUCCAAAUCCCCUGCAGACCAUCAAAAACCCACAGUGGAGUACUCUUUUGACAGGCCAAACGUUUAGAAGACAGUGAAAUAUUACUUCUGUAAUCUCAAAAAUAAAAGUACUUCACCACAGUGUAUUUGGAGGAUAAUAUUUGCAUUGUAUUUUUUUCUUUUUUUCUAUUUGUAUUGAAGGACAAAAUUGAUUGACAUUACUAAUUACAAUGAUAAUUAAAGUUUGAUGGAAAUGUU